rnacentral:rRNA from 1 species
CGCAGUACGAGUGAAUCAUCGAAUCUUUGAACGCAUCUUGCACUUUUUAGGUCUCCUAGAAAGUAUACUUGUUUGAGUAUCAUUAACAUUUACUACUUGUAGUAGCCUAACUGCUACCAGUGAAUUGAGACGUUAAGCAGGGUAAGCUGCCUAUGUCUUUAAAGUGAUACGUAGAGUGUUGUGACUUUUUGUCACAAGCCUCCUCCCAUACCAAAUGUGAGAUAAACAUCGCACAGAGUAGUUGAGAAGGUUAAGCUCUGCUACGCCUGGAAGUGUAGCACUUGUGUUGCCUUCAACCCCACUGAAUCAGUGAUCUCAAAUCAAGUAAGACUACCCGCUGAACUUAAGCAUAUCAAUAAGCGGAGG